CACAAAAAAAAAAAAAAACGUUCAGUGAGUGUCUGGUCCAUGUCACAGCAAUUACGUAUGUGAAACAAUAUACUGAAAGCCGGCUGAAAGUUUACGCAAAAUGCAUAUUAUAUCGCUACAAGUACAACCAAGUGGAGCACGUAUGAAGCUUGAAGAGUUAUAAUGGAGAUACGACAGUAGAUUCUCCACCGGUUUCCUGAUGCCAGGCUUUCGUUUGGCAACUCUGAACACUACUACUACCACUACAUCAGUGCUUCUGUCAUCUUAGUACAGUCCUAGUUACCGACCCAGGCUGCAAAAACCUUCAUCUCCCAACAUUUCCUCCAACUCCAGUCCAUCUAUUAUCCUCUCCUCCCUUCUUACUAUUAUUCAGUCUUAUUGUCCACCUCUCUGCAGUGCUAAACUCAAUACCACUCCCUCUUCCACAAGGGCCAAACCUAUUGAGUACUGUUUGCCCAGCAAAAUGGGGUCGAUGUGACCUCUACGGUCCCUCUGACAACUGCUCUUCCAGCAAUGCCUCCAAAAAACAUUAAGCAAAGUUUCCCUCCGCCUUGUCAGUAGACUACCCUGUCUGCGACAAGGAUUGGUCAGUCUGUGGAGGAGACUUGCUCGCCUGCCUCGUUGACUAUGAUGUAGUAUCAGUACAAAGCUACAUCAUUUUCCCAGUGGCACCUUCAUAAGUCCACCAGUAUUACCAAGAUUACUUUCUGUAGACAUCUACCCAUUUAUCCAUUCUAAAUCCAGACACUCCAGUCUCAAAACUAUCUAAUGACACCAGAUAACAUGGCCACACUUUGUCCAUCCUCCAAUCUCUGCUCCCAUUCCCUCUACACUCCAGGAUCUCACUCUUACUGGACAGACUUCAACUUUAUGGAUAGACGACUGGGAAGGCAACCUGUACAUCUCAGACAGAACUAAAGAUAACAUCAGGAAGUGGAUAUUCUUCUGUAUUCUCAGAACUGUGGUGCACAUUGGAAGUGUUCAAAGAAUUUGUAUUACCCAAGUGAGAACUGAGGACUACUGAACACUGGUGUGGAUUCUUAUGACUGUAGUGAAUGGUUGUAAAUACAAUAUAUGGAAUUAUGGUGAA